UGCUCCAUGGCUUAGUUGGCUAUAGUGUCCAGCUUUUAAGUAAUAUGUCCUUGACUGCAAGAAGAUCAGUUGUGAAUAAUCGGAAGGUCGAGAGUUCGAGCUUCUCUGGGGCAG